CGGCGGGGACCGCGCGCUGCGAGCCCGGGGCCGGCCGGGCAGGCGGGGCGGCUCGGGCUCGGGCUCCGGCUCCGGCUCCGGCUCGGGCGCGGUGUCGGCGGCCGCGGCAGCGCCGAGGUUGUAGCACAUUCUUUCUGAGCGUGAUCGAAGGUUUCCUGUAGGAGCCGGAGCGGGGAGGGCUGGAGGAGGGGCGGGGGACGCGGGCGGGGGCGGCCGGAGGGCGGGCGGCGGCCUGGCUCCGCACGUCGGUGGACUGGGGGUGUCCGGAGGUGGCCUCGGGAGGGGAAGUUGGACCGCGGGGGCGGCGAGGGGAGCCGGGAGGCAGCCUCGCCCGCUCCUCGGGGUCCGCCCCGCGCGCCCCCGCCGCCGCCCCAGGCCACCGUUUGGAGAAGCCCCCGAGGUCUAGGAGACGAGACUUUGGGAGGCGACGGGAGGUGGGCACCUGAGGCGGGGGUGUGCACGCGCGUGCGGACACGGCCGUGUGCACACACACCCGCGAGCCGCGUGAAAGUUGACCUGAAGUCAGACCCUGUGUGGGCGCGCGCGUCCGCGAGUGCAAAUGCACAGCCCUCAGGGGCGCGCGUAUCCGGGGACGAGGAGGGCUCGGCACGUGGGGGGCGGGGGUGAGGGGGUGGUCCGGCCCUCGGGCACUCGCCCUCCCCCAGAUCGUUGACACCCCCACCCCCACCCCGCCCCUUGCUCGCCACCCCCUUCGGCUGCGGAGAGGGUGGGGGCGUGGGAUCAGCCAGGCCCCUUCCGAUUCCCCGAACGUUCCGUUUGGCGGACUCCCCUCCCACCGAUCCCCCUUCCCCUUCCUUCGUCUCCCGAAUCCCCGGGGAUCCGAAAUCCCUCGGCCGGCCUCUACACCGGGUUCUAAAGCCGCAGCGCCCUAGACGCCCCGCACCCGCACCCAGCGGCCACACCGCCCGCCGGCGGCUCCCACUGCCCACCGCCCCUGCCCCGGCAUGCGGCUGGCGCGGUGGGUAAAAAUCCCAAACCAGGCUCAAGAGCGCCCCCGCCCGGCACGGCCUGCGCGCCGCUUUCCGAGCCGCCGCGUUGGAACUGCGGAGUGGGUGCCCUGGCGGGCGCGGGGCGCGACCCCCGGAUCCCGCCCGCCGCGCUGCGCCCCUGCCGCCGGGUCCUGCCCCCGCCAGGGAAGGGAGGCCGAGGCGGCUGGGUGGGCUGCGCACCUGGGAGCGCGCGCGCCGCAAAGAGGAGGGGGCUGCAGGAGGGCGAGGGAGUUUGCCCUGGGGUGCCCUUCCCUCCCGGAGGAGGCCCCGGGCCGGCGGAAGUGGCGCGUGAGGCUUCGAGCCGCCGAACCGAAGGCUGUCCCGCCCGAGGAAGGGCGCUGCGCUCUGGUCCCCGGUCCGGUCCGGCGGCCUCUCCGCAGCCCAUAAACUCCAUCCAGCCCGCGGCGCCCAGCGCCCACCCUCCGCGCUCCUCCCAACCCUCCCUCCGCCCUCCCCGCCAAACUUGGUGUCCCUGCAGGCGAGCGGGGAACCGAUACACCAAAGGGGGACGGUGGUGGAGGAGAUGACACCACCUUUCCCCUGGACUCCUGGGCCAGAGGAGGACGGUCAGGGACGGAGCCGCUGUCUGGGACUGUGCCGUCCUUGAGUCCGUGCGCAGGGGCACUCAGACCUUCUGGGGACGGGAGGUGGGGCAGAGGCUGGGCUCGGGGUCUCUCUCGCCUGGGGCCUUAAUGCAGGUGCGCUGCCCCUUUGUAGCCUAGGUCGGCCUGCAGCCCCCUUUCCCGUGUCCUCUCUCCCCAGCACUCCAGGGCCUUGAAAGUCCCGGACCUGCUUCCCCAGGGGCAGCCCUCCUGCGGGACUUUGAGGCCUUUGCUGCGUUUCACCCCUAACUCCCUCCCCAGCUCCUGGAGAUGCUGAAGUAUGCCCUCGUUUUUUCUGAGAGGGCAGAGGGGGGCUGCUGCAACCCCCCAACCACCAGAAGUGGCCCAGCUUCCAUUGCUGCUGUAGCCAGUUGUAAGGGUGCCCUGCCCCCCAUGCCCCCAGAUCAAACGCCCGCCAGGGCCACACCUCGCCCUCACACAUGCGGGCACACCCGCGUGCAAUUGUAAAAUUCACCUCCACGUGUCAAGCAUGUGCUCACUGCCUGCCUCGAUGCAGUCCCCGCAGCCACCUUACAAGCGAGUCCCAUUAACAGCUCCCAUUUGCCGGGAGACCAGGAACUGGGUCAACAAGAUUCUUUUGGUUAAAACAAAGCAGCCACCUUCUCAAGAUUCAGCCCAGUGCUCUUUGGGGUGGAGGCAGGCUGGGCAGCGAGGGCCCUGGGGCUCUGGGGCUCCUGGGCUCUGUGCCGGGCCCCGGGUCGCCCUGGGACGCCCCAGCCAAGUCGUGGCCGCUCCUGAAUCUUCCACCGUGCUGUGAGCUAGCUCAGGGGGGGUAGGACAGUGUGACUCACCUAUGGGUCCCCGUGCCACACGCUGGACCAGCACAGAGGGGGUGACCGAGCACGUUUCCAGAAUAAAGGAGGACCCGCCACAGGUCUCUGCACCCCUGUGGUUGACUCUUCUCUCCUCUAAGGAUGGCCCGGCUGGAGGUAACUGACCCAGGCUGGUCAGUCAGUCACCUGAGGGUGUGCCUGGAUUGGGGGAGGGGCGCAAGUAUCUGGAAUUCAUGUGGAUGAGACCCCUCCCCAAACUGACCCUGAAAAAUGGUACUCAGAGAAAAACAGUGACAAUCUCUUCCCGUGCCCAGAAUUUCACAGUAACAACAAACGCCCAGAGAAUCUAUAAAAGAAGCAACAUCCCAGCUUCCAACCCGAGCAAAGAGCCAAUAUCCCCAUAUAUAAAGAGCUCUUACAAAUCAAGAAAAAUACCCAAGAGGAGAGAAACUGGACAGAGGUUAUGAUGGACGUGCCCAGUGCCAAAGGACGGCAAAUCGUCCCGCCCCAUUUUACAGAGAAGACUGAAUGUCGUGAGCUGGCCGAGACUUGACCAAGGAGUCCCCGGAGGGCACGUCAGGACUUGGACCCAAGGCUUUUUCCUGAGCACCUUUAUUGGGGUAUAAUUUACAUACUGUACCAUUUACCCAUUUACAACAUAGGAUUCGACAGGUUGUAAGAUAAUACGUCACGGAGUUGUGCGACCAUCGCCACUGUUCAUGUUUAGAACAUUUCACCCCCAAAGGCACCCCCCUGUCCCCGUGAGCAGUUACUACCCCCUCCCCACUGCCACCAUGGGCAACCGCUAGCCUACUUUCUGUCUCUAUGGACCUGCCUGUUCCAUAUCUUUCAUACCAAUGGAAUCAUAUAACAUGUGGGCUUUUGUGACUGGCUUAGUUCACUCAACACUCUAAUUUUUGAGAUUCUCUAUACAUUGGAGCACAUAUCACGAUUUCAUUCCUUUAAUUUUUUUUUUUUUAGUUUGUUUUUUUUAGAGAGAGAAGGAGAGAGAGAGUAGGAGGGGGCAGAUAGGAGAGCAAGAAUCCCAAGCAGGCUCCGCACUGUUGGCACAGAGCCCGACGUUGGGCUCGAACUCACCAACCGUGAGAUCAUGACGGGAGCCGAAAUCAAGAGCCGGACUCUUAACCGACUGAGCCACCCAGGCGCCCCUCGAUUUCGUUCCUUUUAAUUGCCUACGAAUACGCCGUUACAUGGAUAAAUCACAUUUCGUCGUCCAUUUACCAGUGCAUGAACAUUUGGGGUGUUCCCCCUUCUGUGACAUUAAAGUGUGUUGCUCCAAA